rnacentral:lncRNA from 1 species
AUGAAGCCAGGUUUUAGUCCCUGUGGGGUGGCUUCAGCAGCUGAGGGGACAUUGGUGACCAUGGCGGUUGUGGUGGGGUCGAGGAGGCUUUGGUGAAGGCCGAGGUCCAGGUGGAGGUGAAGGAAGAGAGGGAGGAAGUGAAGGAGGAGGAAGAGGUGGUGGGGGAGGAGGAGAUAGGGGAGGAGGAGGAAGAGGUGAUGGAGGAUUCCUUUCUGGUGGCCACCGGGGUGGUGGUGGGGUAGAGGAGGAGGAAAGCAGUCUGGGAAGAAUGUGACAGUGGAUCUGUAUGGGCUGAGGUGUCUUCAUUAUGGAGGAAAGGAUCAUGCACUAGUCACUGAGAAUCUGGUCCCUGGAGAAUCAGUUUAUGGAGAGGAGAGAGUCCCCACUUCGCCGGGAGAUGACAGCAUGGAGUCCCAAGCGUGGAACCCCUCCCACAUCAAGCCAGGGCCCAGGUGCUCUCCCUCGGGGCUGCCUCAGGCACCACCAUCUCCCAUGUCUCUGACAUCGUAGGCCCAGGUGGUCUAGUCUAGGCCAUGGAGUCCUCCCACCGCUCUGGCCGUGCCUCGUUAACUUGACCAAGAAGAGGACCAACAUCCUUCCUGUGAGGGAGGGUGCUCGGCAGCAGCACAAGUACCAUGUGCUCAUGGCCGUGGUGAUGUGACUUUUGCUGACGUGGCCCUGCCAGGCCAAACCCGGACUGUGGUCCUGAAUGCCCACCCCUUCCUGCCGAUUGGAGGACACGGAUUUCCACUGAGGCCAAUUGCAGGGAGUCCACAGCCCAGCAGAGGCCGUGUUUGUGUGCGAUGUGAAAAGGAUGGAACAAGAGAACACGAAGCCCCGGAGCAGCUGGCCUGAGAGCCACACCAGAGAGACCAGCUUGUGGUCCUGGGAGUGGACAGGCCACCCGCCAAGGUGA